UAAGCUGUCGCACGCAGUCGGUUCGCCCUGCCAUCCGGGUAGGCGCGUCGCAAGAGGGAACCCGGUGAGAAUCCGGGACUGCCCCGCAGCGGUGAGUGGGAACGACCGCCGUCAACAGCACUGGAUCCGUGUCGGAUCCGGGAAGCGACGGCCAGUAGGUGUCCACCCUUGGUGGAUGUGCCCGCGAGUCCGAAGACCUGCCACUGCCCGUGCGCUGUC
rfam:Streptomyces scabrisporus strain NF3 contig1, whole genome shotgun sequence.